AUGAAUUAUUAUUAUUUUUGCAUUGAAUACAACUGUAUUAUCGAGAUGCGGCUACUUUCUGUGUGCUCCUCUAUAAUUGCUAAUUCAGAACCUCAUUACAUGAUGGUUCUUCUCGAAGGUUUAGUGCCCAUGGCAUUGGGAGGUACCCAGGAGCCUGCAGCCUACGCCGGCGGAGGGUUGAACCCUGAUGUGAACAAGAAGCUGAGCGCCAACAUUGCUUCCAUCCUGGAGUCAAAGCUGUCCAUCCCCAAGUUCCCGCUUCUACCUCAACUUCUGGGAUUCAAAGGCAAGCAGACAUUAUUUAUCGUCUACUGCUUAUUCAUGGGUCUUCAUCAGGCAUCAUCAUGUUCUCGUUGCAAUUUUGUUGUUUGUUAG
rnacentral:rRNA from 1 species